rnacentral:rRNA from 1 species
GAGUUUGAUCGUGGCUCAGGACGAACGCUGGCGGCGUGCUUAACACAUGCAAGUCGAACGAUGAACCAGGAGCUUGCUCUUGGGGAUUAGUGGCGAACGGGUGAGUAACACGUGAGUAACCUGCCCUUGACUCUGGGAUAACCUCCGGAAACGGAAGCUAAUACCGGAUAUGACGCACGGAGGCAUCUCCUGUGCGUGGAAAGAAUUUCGGUCAAGGAUGGACUCGCGGCCUAUCAGGUAGUUGGUGAGGUAACGGCCCACCAAGCCUACGACGGGUAGCCGGCCUGAGAGGGUGACCGGCCACACUGGGACUGAGACACGGCCCAGACUCCUACGGGAGGCAGCAGUGGGGAAUAUUGCACAAUGGGCGCAAGCCUGAUGCAGCAACGCCGCGUGAGGGACGACGGCCUCGGUU